rnacentral:rRNA from 1 species
GUUGGGUUAAGUCCCGCAACGAGCGCAACCCUUGUCACUAGUUGCCACCAUUCAGUUGGGCACUCUAGUGAGACUGCCGGUGACAAACCGGAGGAAGGUGGGGAUGACGUCAAGUCCUCAUGGCCCUUAUGGGUAGGGCUUCACACGUCAUACAAUGGUCGGUACAGAGGGUUGCCAAACCGCGAGGUGGAGCCAAUCCCCUAAAGCCGAUCGUAGUCCGGAUCGUAGUCUGCAACUCGACUACGUGAAGUCGGAAUCGCUAGUAAUCGCAGAUCAGCAUGCUGCGGUGAAUACGUUCCCGGGUCUU